CUCCCCGCUAAAAAUCUCAUUCUCCCAAAUCAUUUAUCCCAUUCUCCCGAAACCCUUAUUUCUAGCUUCUAGCCUUUUGUCUCACUCAAAUCCCUUUCUCUUUGUCUAUAUCUCAAAAUCGGGUCUGUUGAAGAAAAUUUCGAGUUGAAAUAUGAAAGUAGAAAUUAGAAGGAAACUAUUUAUCUUUGGAGAGGAAAGUAGGUAUCUACAUAGCGUCAAUAAGCGGCCUCGUGCUAUUUCCAUCAUUUCUUCUGAGAUUCGUAACUUAGUGAAGGCUUUCUUUUUUCCCUUGCAUUUUUACUUUCUGUUUUAUUUCUCAUUUUUCUUUCUUUGUUAUGGAUGUGUCAACAUUUAAUUUUGAUUUUUAGAGAGUUUAAAGAAACUGUUUUGCUGAAACUUAAUAUUUUAUAGUUAAUAUUUUGUGUAGAUUUCCUUUUCAAUUAUGGUAAUGUUGUAUAAUUGAAUAGAGAAGUUGGAUUUCUUUGAACAUUCUUCGAAAGUUCUGCUCGCAAACUUAAUGUUUAAUUUUUGAUUUGGAUAAGCAGAUUAAAUUUGAUAUAAAAUACUGAAAUGAAUAAGAUGAUGACAUAUCUUGUGAUGAGUCUGUAUAUUAUUGCCCAAUUAGUAUAGUUUAUGGAUGUCCAGAAUGUGUUCGAGUUAUUGCAUGUACAAUGUCUCAAGUCUAUUUUUGUUGCGGUAAUUUUCGUAAUGGUUAGAAUGCUGAUUUUCUCUAUCAAUCAUAUACCAUGUUGCCCUUUGAAAUAUAUUUUUCUGCUGAUUGCAUAAACCAUUAAGGUUUUUAUUAGUUCAAUAAGAUUGUUUCUUGUUCUCUUCUUUAAUAUAUGAUAUGGACCUUGGUUUUGCUUCUAUUUAUUACUGGGUUUCUGUGUUCAGUUAUUGGAUAAUGUUAUUAUAUUGUUUGAUCAUUUGUACUGUCAUGGGCUGCUUUCCAGACACGCCCUAUGACCCCUUGGCCGCGUCCCAUGGCGGCCUAGCAAGCCUCACAAUGCCUAACGCUAUGGUCGGCCCCGUGGUCUUGGCUACACCAAGUGACAAGCGCGCAGGUGCCUCUGUCGCCCCACCGAUGCCUCUCGCCAGUGCCCAGCGGCUGGCCAAUGACAACAGCGCCACGCAUAAUGACAAUACCGCGCGCGCAGAUCCUGAUGCCUCGCCAGCGCCCAGCUGUAGGCCCAUUCCAGCAGCGCCUCGCGCAUAGACCUUGAUGCCAAGCACUAGCGCCCAGCCUCAGGCAAACACAACAAGUGUCGCGCGCGCCAACAGCACUGCGGGUGCAGACCCUGCCCGCAAGACAAAGUUGCUGCCAUAGGACUUGUUUCUACAUUGUAAUAAACUAAGUCCUUUUCAUUGUAAUUAUAGGCUAGUUUACAUCAUUUUCAUUUAGUGUAUUUCUACAGCUUUAUUAGGGCGAGUCAUGUAACUUUGGUUUAUUUUUUUUAAGCAUUAUUAGGGGGAAUCAAGCAAUCAAACAUUUUUCAAGUAAUCAAUUUUCUGUACUGGUGUCUCUCUCCCUCGACACCGCAUCUUUUGUAAUCAGGUUUCAUUCAUCAAUAAAAUCAUCAUCAGCAU
rnacentral:lncRNA from 1 species